UAAACCUUUUCCUACCAGAAAAAGGAUUAGUCAGUCCAAAACCUUUUCCUAAAAGGAAAACCUAUUUAUGGUAAGAAAUUUAGGGCAAAUAAAACCCAACAACACGCACCUCACUGCCUUAAUCCAAAAUUUAAGAAAAAAUGAUGGGAUUUUGUCACGCGACGCAAACCUACUUCCGAGACAUCGUAAAAGUUGUAUUUUGGGUAUUUUGACUUCACAAAGAAGGCCAUUUAAGUGAGGGGUAUUUUGGGUAAUUUAAUGGGUUACUUUAUAAUGUAUUAGGGUCAGUUUUAAAUCCAUUCUAACACAAAAAUAAAGUCCCACAAGUUGAAAUAAAAAAUCACUCUUUCCCCCAAAUUCUCUCUUCUUCCAAAACUCCACUGAAGACCAAUAGAGCUCCAAGAAGAAGAUCAAGACUUCAUGUUUUUCAACCCAAUUUAGAGUCUCUAUCAUAAAUAAGUUUCGGGCCAUUAAGGAGAUUCGUGGACAUUGAAGAAGAUGAAUUGACUCCUUCUUAAGUCAAAUGGUGAGUCCUCAUGAGCUCAGAGGAUAAAGCCACUCAUAAAGCCUCAUUUGUCUAUGUUUUGAUACAAUUAUUCCAUUCUCAUGUUGAGAUUUAAUUGUAGCCUAUAUGGAUAUUGUAAUGUACUGAGGGCUAUGCCCAAAUCAUUGUAGUCUUUCAUUAGAUGGUUUAAUGUGAGACAAAGUAUUAGACUAUAUUCCUAUAUAUUGUAUGUUGUUUAUGCGA